CAAGGGACUCAAGACUAGGUGGGACAAACACUAGUCUGACUAGAUAGGACAGUUCAAGUCUGAGAAUUUGGUGCAAGAUCCAAAGUAUGUCUCCUCUAAAGGAGGAGGCAUAUCCAGACAGGAAUGGUUUCGCUCUUUUGUGGUGUCCAGUGACGAUCAUUCGGAUACAAUGGAGUGGGGCCUCUGCCAAACAACGAUGGUUGUUUGGGUGGUACCGCCCUCGAUAGCAUUCCAUUUAGACGUAACGCUUCAGACUAGAACUGUCCUGUCCAGUCAGACCAGUGUGUGUACCACCUGGUCAUUGAGCAUGAACUGAUGAAGCCUGCUCGGAUGAGAGGUGGAACAUCUUCUAAGACAACCAGAACAGUCCAGUUGCGAUCGAUUCAAGGCCCUGAGGAAGUGUUUAUCAUAAAGGUAUAAUGAUUGCAACACUGAUGUCUAUUUCCUGUAUGAGCGCAUGGUGUUUGACUUAGUUUCCACUCUACCUGCUUUUGUCCUGCAGCUAGCUCACACUGAUAUCAGUCAGUUAUUAUCGCAUGUUGGCAUGCAUCCCAACGAAUGACUACUAGUUUCAAAGUGGCCACAGCAGAAGGAUAAUGAUGAAAGUGCUGUCUCCCAACUGUAUUUUUUUUAUAUUCCCACACAUCUGACAUCACUGUCAUUGACUGGAGUGUGUGUGGAAGUGUUGUUGUUCCACAGGAUACCCAAGAGGCUUGUCAGAAAUCGUGGGGUGACUUGUCAUUCACUGACCUCCACAUGUUUGUGCUCCGUUAGCUUUUAUAGAAAAUGCUGCCAGGCAUUUGGAGCCUUGUGUUAAUUUUGCAAGGCAGGGAAGUUGUCAAACUCAUUUCUCAGCUAAAGGACACCAAGGAUUCCUUAAUGAGCUGUGUGAAUAAGGGUGAAGAGAAACAGCAAGCAGGUCUGAUGGGGUGGUCCUAAAGGUCCACUUAGUCUUUAUAAACCUCCUUGAUAUUUUCCCUUCCUCAGCUACUGCUCAAAAUCUAAUAUAUAAUGGGAUUAUCACACACAAGUGAACUGGCUAGUAAAAACACUUCUCCCACCCUUUUCAUUUCUGUCCGAAUCCUUGAUACAGCUUGAUAUUCAGUAGCUGGAGCUUCAGAGAAAGAGAGAGCAAGGACCAGUCGUUUUUUUUGUUUGAGAAAACUGUCUUGAUCUACCUUUUUUUGCUAACGAAUGCCACGGCCCCGUUUUGCCCUCUCUAGGACCUUAUUAGCACAUCCAUAUUGGUUAUUCCACAAUGUGCUAAGCUAGCAGGUCACCUGUGCCACCUGGCCAUGAAUUUGUAUGAGCAGGUACCCAAUUGUGGUGUGCUGUCAAUCAAAAACAAUGGAAAAUGGAUUUAGGGAUUCUGAGCCGCUCUCUGAGGCGAGACCAAGUUUGAGCCUUGCUAACUGUGCUCGUCUACACAGUGUUGACGUGCAACUUUUUCAAACAUUGAAAACAUUAUUCAUGGAGUUUAAAAGCACAUACAGUACACGUAUAUGGAUUUUGUUGUGCAUCAUGCAACAUGAUAGAUGCGGGCAGUAACUAGUCAAGAGUCUAGUUAUUGAGACAAAUAAUGGCAGAUUACAAAACUGCUUUCUAGAGGCUGAACAACAAAAUCUGUUUUAACAUUCAAUAAAUGUCACACGGCAUAAUUCCGUAGAAAAACUGAGCAGAAUUGAAUUUGUGUAAGUCUGCUUUGAUAUGCAACAGCUGCCAUGGUGACCCCGGAAUCAGUUUUUAUUUGACUUUGUUUAAAGUGUUUGUCUUGUGGAUAUGUAUUUUUAACAUCCAAGACAGAGCAGUGUUUUAUUUGUGCAUUAUCAGGGUGGCGGCGGCUCAGGAGGAAGAGCAGGUCGCCCACAGAUCUGAAGGUUGGCAGUUUGAGCCUCUCUCCCUCCACCCAGUCACUGUCAUUGUGUCCCUGGGCAAGACACUUCACCCACCCGCCUCCUGUUGUAUGAAUGUGAAUGAAUGUUUGCUGGUGGUCGGACAAGCCCUAGGUGCGAAUAGGCAGCCAUGUUUUCAUCAGACUAGCCCAGGGCAGCUGUGACUACAGAUGUAGUUUAUCAUGAAUAUCAUGAAUGAGUAAUGGGUUCUCUUCAUUGUGAAGUGCUUUGGAUGCCUUGAAAAGCACUAUAUCAAAUCUAAUUCAUUAUUAUUAAUAUUUUUAUCCUUCGUGAAUCUCUGUUGACCUUCUGUCAGCCCUCUGUCGAGGGGCAGGCGGGGCCAACUGCAGCCCGCGGUCCAUAGAUGACCCGCUAAGAUUUUUAAUCCAAUCGGCCCCACUUUUCCUUACUGGCACCCGGAUUUGCAAUGCUAUUUUGAAACUACCAUGCGUUUUGAACCAUUUGCGCUAUCGAAAUACCAACGAUUUCUGAACCAAGAGGUUCUGAGCUUUCCAGUGAUAUACCACUCAUUGCGGUAAUACCAGGAACCAACCGUAAUGAGUGGUAUAUCACUAGAAAGCAGCGUCACAGCACCUCUGAGAAGAAGAGGCUUUCACACAAAGCAGGCUGAGCCUGUGUGAUGAAGAUGGGAAGGAUAAGUAUGCUUUGUACGACUAAGUUCUCCAAAAAGGUGAUAUUUUAUCAGACGUUUGUUAAAGUUUGUUUUUGUGUUUCGCCAUGAUGAUGCAAUUUUGCCAUGUUUUUCUUUUGAUUUUGACUGCAAACGUGGAGGAGGUCGUUACACGGCUGAUUCACGGAGGGAUUAAAUCAUCUGAAUCUCAGGAAGGAGUAAAGAAAUAGUGGAAAUACCAAGUUCACAUACUCUUGGAUGUUCACUGUUUUAUCGUUCAAAUUCCACAUCAAAAAUCCUUUUUUCAUGUUCAUGUAAAGGACAUUCUGGGAAGCUUAUUCAGGAAAAACCCUAAAUUCAUUUUUUGAAUUUGUGUUAUUAUACUUUGGUAUGCAACACUUAAUGGCUCCCCCGGACAAAUUUUAGAACCCACUGUGGUCCUGCAAGUCAAAAAUGUUUGCCCACCUCUGGUCUAAGUCUCCAUGUAGGAAUACACAUAUGCACGCGUGUGAUAUUUACGGGGUUGUUUAUGUACUUAGGUAUCAUUUGUACACUGCAGGCCUCCUGACUAAUUAAAAAAAAGUAAUGAGACAAAAAAGUUGAAAUAAAGACAAAUACUGUAGCUGCAUCUGAGAUAAUCACCUCUCUAAGUACAGAAACUGGGCGGUGAUUUCCUAUCACUAAGACUGACAUGUGGAACAAUAACUUGAAUAGGCACCAUUCAACCAAUACCAGCUGACAGGUUGAAUAUUUAAACCCACAUUUGCAUGCUGGCUGUCAACCCGCUCCACGCUGCAGUGUCCGAAGUAGAAACAUUUGAUUAAUGGGGGCAUGCGAGUUGGAAACUAACAACAUCAGUCAUAAGAAUUCUCUCUCCAUCCAUCUGCGAACACAGCUUUGCUCUCUUUAAACACUCCGCAGUGCAGAGAAAUAUGUGUGCAAAUGUGACAUUGAUUUACAGUGCAGAGUUUUGCUGCGUGACGGUGAGUGAAUACACAAGUGCGCCACACUUCCUCUGUGACACUAACAAUUAAUUUCAUCCGGCUAUUGGGUUUUAGUUUGCAUAGCCAUGGAGCAAUAACACGAAGGAGCUUUGACACCGCCUUCAAACAAGGCGGCCAUAUUAUCGGCUUUCUUUUAAACCCCUUCUCAUUGUAGCAUUUUUGGGCUAAAACGUUUAAAGUUGUUUCUAAAGUAAAUGUAUUGUAUCGAAGCAUGACUUUGGGCUCUUUUGAAAGCUAACAAGCUGUCAGAAUCUCUUAGGAGCUUGAAUAAUUGAUUUUUUUUUUCAGAAACAUGCCUUAAAAAAAGGAAUUUAGACCUUCACUCAUCCUAUUUCAAAUGAAUCAAUGAUACUACCAACAUGUAGUAUUUUACACAGGUUAUUCUACUGUUAGAAUCAAGCGUCCCAUUCUCCCUUUACAGAAGUGCACUUGGGUUUGCACAUCACUCUAUGCCUGUGUCAAAUGAUGCUCUAAUGGAAGCGUGUGCAAGGUGUGGCCCGUGGGCCUUUUUCUGUUCCCUGAUUGGCCCGUAAUACAUUCUACAAAUAAAUAUGUCAUAAGAAAACUUUAAAAAACAAUAGCAAAAAUGUAAAAAUCAGCAGUAAUUUUACAAGAAUAAAGUCAAAAUAUUAAGAGAAAAAGGUUGUAAUGAAAUGAUAAAAAGUUGUAAUUUAACAAGAACAACAUUGUAUAUUAUGAGGAAAAAAUUGCAGCAUCAAGUUGAAAAAGACGUUAUUUUAAAGUCAGAAUAUUGUCCAAAACAACAAAUAAAGCUGUCAUUGUUGGAAAAUUAAAUUGCAGAUAAUGUUAAAUGUUACAAGAAUAAAGUCCAAAUAUUAUGUGAAUAAAAUCAAAACUUCUAAGAAGAAAGUUGAAGUAGUUGAGAAUAAAUAAUAAACAUUAUGGGAAUAAAGUCAAAAUAUUAAGACAUUUUUUGCAAAGAUUAUUUAAGAAGUUUGAAAUAUUUGGAUUUUUUUUUUUUUUAAAUCCAGAAAUGGGAGAAAAAGAGCAGAGAGUGAAGUUGAGACUAAUAAUAGGCUGUUUCACCUUUACAACAGACAAAAGCUGAGGUGCAAUGUUUUUCUUGAAAUAUAUAUAACUCGUUAGCAUAUCUCCAUGUGUUGCUUUACAAAAUCAAAUCGAAGUGGCAAAGUUGCAUCCUUUCAUUUUUCACCAUGUGGCCUUCGCUGGAAGACGUUUGGCGUACACCUUCGGCCUCAUCGUCGUCUUUGUCAACAAUCAAGUCUUCAAUCAAGAUCCCCUCUGGCUUUCUCUUGUCAUGUCCACGUUUGGACUUCCUGGGGCGGCACCAACAGACUGCACUGUAGAGCCAUGUGGCUGCGGCAGGAAGACACCACGUGUAUUUAGUACAAGGCGGAAGUCAUGCUGGACUGAAUGCCGCAGAAAAGGGGCUCUUCCCAAGUGACGUCUGCGAACUCGCAGCUCUCAGCUUUAAACGCUUCUAGAGACGAAGGUUUAAGACUACAACGAACGAAGCACAAAUGGAUGCCCGCCUUGCCUUCUGUUCUUUGCAAUGUUAAUUUCACUGAAGACUGCUAUGAAGGAUCACCUUCACAAGAAGCAUUUGGCUUGAAAGUACAGUAUAAACGCAUUUUGGAUGCUAGGAUGCUAUUCCUGAUGCUAUGCUACACAGGAAAAAAGCAGGAGAACGGCGUCAAAGUUGCCACAGAACAGAGUAAGUCAUGUCUUCUUCAUUAAAAGCAUUAUACAUGUUAUAAAUGUACUUUCAUAGCGAUAUGUUGACAGUGGGGGGCAAAUAAAUAAAUACGGCUUAAUUCCCUGUUCUGCAAGUUCUCUAUUUCAGCUCCAGUUGUGUCUUCCUCCUCGAAAACUAUUGACACCGCUCAAAUAUUUGCUAUAAUCACUGUAAACAUCCUCUGUCUCGUCCAUCCUCUCGUGUUUGUUUACUCUGCUUAAGCUGCGACUUUGCUGACGUCACUUGGGAGACGCCCCUUUUCUGCGGCGCUCAGUCCAUCAUGGCUCCCGCCAUGUACCUUUUAAGUGUGUGCCGGCUGCAACAGGAUAUGGCUGACGUAGCAUGCAACCCAGCUAGCGCCUUCUCUACCACUGCCUCACAGUCACUAGGAUACGUUUAAGUACCAUGACAUGGUUUGAUUUUACGUGAAU